rnacentral:rRNA from 1 species
UACGUAGGGUGCUAGCGUUGUUCGGAAUUACUGGGCGUAAAGCGCACGUAGGCGGCUUUGUAAGUUAGAGGUGAAAGCCCGGGGCUCAACUCCGGAACUGCCUUUAAGACUGCAUCGCUUGAAUCCAGGAGAGGUGAGUGGAAUUCCGAGUGUAGAGGUGAAAUUCGUAGAUAUUCGGAAGAACACCAGUGGCGAAGGUGGCUCACUGGACUGGUAUUGACGCUGAGGUGCGAAAGCGUGGGGAGCAAACAGG